CACGUAGGGCGCAAGCGUUGUCCGGAAUUAUUGGGCGUAAAGAGCUCGUAGGUGGUUUGCUGCGUCCGCUGUGAAAACCCAAGGCUUAACCUUGGGCUUGCAGUGGAUACGGGCAGACUAGAGGUAGGUAGGGGAGAAUGGAAUUCCCGGUGUAGCGGUGAAAUGCGCAGAUAUCGGGAGGAACACCGGUGGCGAAGGCGGUUCUCUGGGCCUUACCUGACACUGAGGAGCGAAAGCGUGGGGAGCGAACGAGG
rnacentral:rRNA from 1 species